AACGAACGCUGGCGGCAUGCCUAACACAUGCCAGUCGAACGAGACCUUCGGGUCUAGUGGCGCACGGGUGCGUAACGCGUGGGAACCUGCCCUUAGGUUCGGAAUAACUCCCCGAAAGGGGUGCUAAUACCGGAUAAUGUCUUCGGACCAAAGAUUUAUCGCCUUUGGAUGGGCCCGCGUUGGAUUAGCUAGUUGGUAGGGUAAAAGCCUACCAAGGCGACGAUCCAUAGCUGGUCUGAGAGGAUGAUCAGCCACACUGGGACUGAGACACGGCCCAGACUCCUACGGGAGGCAGCAGUGGGGAAUAUUGGACAAGGGGCGAAAGCCUGAUCCAGCAAUGCCGCGUGAGAGAGGAAGGCCUUAGGGUUGUAAAGCUCUUUUACCCGGGAUGAUAAUGACAGUACCGGGAGAAUAAGCUCCGGCUAACUCCGUG
rnacentral:rRNA from 1 species